rnacentral:rRNA from 1 species
CCCUUAGAUGUCCUGGGCCGCACGCGCGUUACACUGAUGCAUUCAACGAGCUUAUAACCUUGGCCGAGAGGCCUGGGCAAUCUUGUUAACGUGCAUCGUGAUAGGGAUAGAUUAUUGAAAUUAUUAAUCUUGAACGAGGAAUUCCUAGUAAACGCAGAUCAUCAAUCUGCAUUGAUUACGUCCCUGCCCUUUGUACACACCGCCCGUCGCACCUACCGAUUGGAUGGUCCGGUGAAGCCUCGGGAUUGUGGUUCUUGCCGCUUUAUUGUGGCGUGACCGCGAGAACUUGUCCAAACCUUAUCAUUUAGAGGAAGGUGAAGUCGUAACA